AUUGAACGCUGGCGGCAGGCCUAACACAUGCAAGUCGAACGGACCCUUCGGGGUUAGUGGCGGACGGGUGAGUAACACGUGGGAACGUGCCUUUAGGUUCGGAAUAGCUCCUGGAAACGGGUGGUAAUGCCGAAUGUGCCCUUCGGGGGAAAGAUUUAUCGCCUUUAGAGCGGCCCGCGUCUGAUUAGCUAGUUGGUGAGGUAAUGGCUCACCAAGGCGACGAUCAGUAGCUGGUCUGAGAGGAUGACCAGCCACAUUGGGACUGAGACACGGCCCAAACUCCUACGGGAGGCAGCAGUGGGGAAUCUUGCGCAAUGGGCGAAAGCCUGACGCAGCCAUGCCGCGUGGAUGAUGAAGGUCUUAGGAUUGUAAAAUCCUUUCACCGGUGUAGAUAAUGACUGUAGCCGGAGAAGAAGCCCCGGCUAACUUCGUGCCAGCCGCCGCCGUAAGAC
rnacentral:rRNA from 1 species